rnacentral:rRNA from 1 species
AACGAACGCUGGCGGCAGGCCUAACACAUGCAAGUCGAGCGAAGCCUUCGGGCUUAGCGGCGGACGGGUGAGUAACGCGUGGGAACGUGCCCUUUGGUACGGAAUAGCCCCGGGAAACUGGGAGUAAUACCGUAUGUGGUCGAGAGACGAAAGAUUUAUCGCCAAAGGAUCGGCCCGCGUUGGAUUAGGUAGUUGGUGGGGUAAUGGCCUACCAAGCCGACGAUCCAUAGCUGGUUUGAGAGGAUGAUCAGCCACACUGGGACUGAGACACGGCCCAGACGCCGACGGGAGGCAGCAGUGGGGAAUCUUAGACAAUGGGGGAAACCCUGAUCUAGCCAUGCCGCGUGAUCGAUGAAGGCCUUAGGGUUGUAAAGAUCUUUCAGUGGGGAAGAUAAUGACUGUACCCACAGAAGAAGCCCCGGCUAACUCCGUGCCAGCCGCCGCGGUAACAC